rnacentral:rRNA from 1 species
UAUGAAGAGAUGGAAUAUACUGAGACCUAAAGGAAACUGAGAGAAAGAAACCAAGAGAACUGAAACAUCUAAGUAUCUUGAGGAAAAGAAAUAAACAUAGAUUCUAUGAAUAUUGGUGAGAGAAAAUAGAGAAGUAUGAAUAAGUAGUAGGGGUUAAAAGAUCUACGAAAAAGGGAGAACUAAUCCUAAGACUAAAUAUAAUUAGUAAGUGUAAUAAGUACCGAAAGGGAAUAAUAUAAAUAAGUGAAAUUGAGAGCAAUUAAAGGUUAAUAAAGAAGAAUUAAUUGAUAAUGUACCUUUUGUAUAAUGGGUUAGCAAGUUAUAAUAAAUAGCGAAAAAGAAAGAAUUUGAAAUGAAAAUGAGAGAAGUUAUUAAUUAUAGACCCGAAAGUAGAUGAUCUUACCGUAUACAAGUGGUUAAGAUAUAUAUAUAUUAAUAUAUAUAUUAAACGACUGAACAGGUUAAUGUUGCAAUAUUAUCUGAAGAUAUAUGGUAAGUAGUGAAAGACAAAUCUGAUCUACAGAUAGCUGGUUCUUUGUGAAAUAUAUUUAAGUAUAGCGUUAAUAAAGAAGUAUAAAUAUGGUAAAGCAAUUAAUAAUAAUUGGGGUAUUGUAAUAAUAUUAUCAAUAUUAUUUAAUCUCAUAAUAAUAUUUAUAUAUUAAUUAAACGUCAGACUAUUAGUGAUAAGAUUGAUAGUCAAAAGGGAAACAGCCCAGAUCAAGAGAGAAAGUUCCAAAUAAUAAUUUAAGUAUAAAUAAUAUUUAUUAAUCGUAAAACAAUAAUGGGAUUAGUUUGACAGUAAUUAUUCUAUGAUCAACGUGUAACAACGGGUUUAUUAUAAAUAUAAUAUAAUAUAUUAUAUAAAAGAAUAUAUAUAUAUUCUGAUCGGUAAAUAAAUAGAUAAUAAUCGGAAUUAAAAAUAAUAACUGAAAUCUUGAAUAAUAGAAUUAAAAGAAUAAUAAUAAUAUUAAGGUAACAAAGCAUUUAAUGAAUAAAUAUUUUUCUAAAUGAAAAAUAAGGAAAGAAAGAAAGAAAUAGAAUUAAAUAGAGAAUGCUGACAUGAGUAACGAAUAAGAGGAAAAUCCUCUUCACUUUAUGUAUUAGGUUUUAAUAAAAAAUCGGUCCAUAAGAGAAUUUCUGAAAAGAAAUAAUUAAUAGGUAAUAAAUAAAAAAGUAUACGCCCAUAUAAAAAAAUAUAAGGUAGUAUAUGGUACCGGAAAAAGUAUUUUAUAAAAAUACCGUAAUAAAACCGACACAGGUAUACAAAUAAAAAAUGAAAGUGAAUAAGUGAAUUAUUCUAAAUGAACUCGGCAAAAUAAAAGCUCAGACGUUAGUCAAAAAGAGUGAAUAAAGUACAUGUUAUGCGACUGUUUACCAAAAACACAGCACUUUGCGAAAACGAUAAGUAUUAGAAUAAAGUGUGAAUUCUGCCCAAUGUUUAAUAAUAAAGAAAUAUAUUAAUCGAUAUAUUUAUAAAAAUUAAGUAAAUGGCGGCUUUAUACUGAGAGUCAUAAUGUAGCGAAAUUCCUUGACCGCUAAAUACGGCCCUGCAUGAAUGGAGUAACGACAUAACAACUGUAUCUAGAAUAAGCUUAGUGAAAUUGAAAUCGCUGUGAAGAUGCAGUGUACCUAAAGGUAGACGAGAAGACCCUAUGCAGCUUUACUAUGAUUUAAUAAGUUGUUAUUAUUUGAUAAAAUGUUAGUAUAUAAAGUAAUAUAUUGAUAUAAAAAUGAAAUACUUUUAUUUUAUUCCAAUUUAUUUAUAUAAAAAAUAUAAAUAGAUAUAAAUAAUAACUGAAUUAAUAAUUAAUUAGUAGAAAAAAGAAUAUCCUAAUUAUAAUAUAUUUAUAAAAAUAUAUAUAUUAAUGACAGCUUUAAAUUGAUAGUUUAAAUGGGGCGUUGAUUUCACAAAAAAUAACUGAAUAUGUCCAUAUACAAUUAAAAUUAAAUGAAUUAAUGAAUUAAUCAUUAAAAAUGUUAAAAAUAAUAUGAAUUUAUUAUAAUUUUAGAAAAACCUAUGUACAGUAAAUUUGACCUGACAUCAAAUAAUUAUCUAAAAAAUAAUUUUACUAAAUUAAUAUAAUAGUGGAUAACUGUGCAAUAAUUUAACACUAACAAGUGGAAAUUAUACGUAAGUAAGGUAUAAUGAACAGAUCAUUUUAAUAGUCCAAGUGAUCGAUUAACGGAUAAAAGUUACGCUAGGGAUAACAGUGUAAUAACAUGAGAGAGUAGAUAUUGUCAAUGUUGUUUGCCACCUCGAUGUCGGCUGAGCCUAUCCUAUUGGUAGUAUAAGCUAAUAAGGGUUUGACUGUUCGUCAAUUAAAAGGCUACCUGAGCUGGGUUCAAUACGUCGUGAGACAGUAUGGUUUCUAUCUUCUUUAGGGAUUAGUUAAAAAAGGUAUAUAACUUAGUACGAAAGGAUUAGUUAUAGUUAAUCAAUGAUUUUACUGUUGUAUAUUAUGUAUAAUUAUAAUGAUACUAUCUAUUUAUAAUAUGCAGGCAGUUAAGUUAAAUUAAUAAUAUUUAAAUAUUGAAAGCAUUUAAAAUAUAAAAGUAACCUUUUUUUAACUAUAUUUUUAUAUA